rnacentral:snRNA from 1 species
GGAUGGGAAGAUGGCUGGCUGUGACACCCAACACUCCACAAUGGCUAGGGUUGAAUUCCCUGAUCUGUAUGCUAUAGUGGAGGCUCCUCUUUCACUGUGACUCCAUGUACGUCCCUCCCAAAGCUGUGUCCUCUUCAUGCAGUGUGCACUUGGUCAAAGGAGACGACUUUCCCUGAUAGAGGAGGGUUGGUCUUGGGUCAAAGUUAUAUAAGCAGCUAGAACUUCAAGAAAGAAAGAGGGAAAUGAAAAAGAAGGCUAAAUAUGAAGGUGGAGUUCAGUUAUAUUACAAAUUUCCCACAAACUAGCCCUUGGCUUCAAUG